GGGCCCGUAGCUCAGUUGGAUAGAGCAACGGAUUUCUAAUCCGUAGGUCGGAGGUUCGAUCCCUCUCGGGCCCG
rnacentral:tRNA from 6 species